UACGGGGGGGGCAAGCGUUGUUCGGAAUUACUGGGCGUAAAGGGCGCGUAGGCGGCCCGCUAAGUCGAACGUGAAAUCCCCGAGCUCAACUCGGGAACUGCGUCCGAUACUGGCGGGCUUGAAUCCGGGAGAGGGAUGCGGAAUUCCAGGUGUAGCGGUGAAAUGCGUAGAGAUCAGGAAGAACACCGGUGGCGAAGGCGCUCUGCUAGGCCGCAACUGACACUGAGGGACGAAAGCUAGGGGAGCGAAUGGG
rnacentral:rRNA from 1 species